AAAACUCACACAACUUGAAACAGAAUAAGAAUUAAAUAGCUUCUGGUGUGUAGUGAGCGCCUUGCAUGGAAGCAUCCUGACAUUGGUGUGGGAGUGUGAAUGGGUGAAUGUGAAGCAUAAUUGUAAAGCGCUUUGAGCAUCUAAUGCAGAUGGAAAAGCGCUAUAUAAAUGCAGUCCAUUUACCAUUUACAACAAAGUUGGUCGCUGUGCGCACAGACGGACGAGCUGUCAACGUCGGUAUGUACAACGGUGUGGUACCAAAACUCCGGCAACUUGCUGCGUCUGGAGACUCCCUUGUGCACAUUUUGUGCACCGCACACACACUGGAGAAUUGCACAAAAUCAGCUGAUCGCAACGUGCCUUACUGUCAGACAUUUAAUUGCUCUGUGGUCAAGCUGCUGCAGUUUUAUUUACAAAAAGGUGGAGCAAAAAAACUGCUGCACUGAAGAAGCUGUGUGACGAAAAGGGGAUCUCCUUUGUGAAACUGGACAAGUUUCAUAAUAUCAGAUGGUCUGCAUGGAGGCAUGAAACACUGAUAAAAAAUAUCGACUGUUGCCAGCCAUUAAAAUGCAACUGGAUACGAGUGAUAACAGUGACCUUCAGCAUAUCUGCACAGAGCGUUUUCAGUGCUUUCUGUCAAACAUGUUUGGCAUUGGCAACAUUUUGAAGACCACAUCCAUUAGGUUUUAGAAGGAAAAGCUGACCAUUGGAGAAUGUAAAGAUGAACUCAUGGUGGCCAUUGGACAGUUCAGACGAGACAAAAUUACUCAGGGGGUUAAUUGCUCCCCACUUCAAUUUGUAAGUAAGUAUUGACUUUUUAAUAAUAAUAAAACAGGAAACAGUAGGUGUCUGUCUUUCAGUUUCUCUGAAAGCUCUCAGUUGUCCAGGUGGUUGACGUGAGUCCUCGCGUCAAGCAACCCAGUCCAGUUGAAGAUUCAAGCUUCUCUACCAUGUCUUUCAGUUGAUCAGCCCAAUCCUGGUAAAUGUCUACAUCUUCUUCACCUUUUUCUUUGUCAGUCAUGUGUGCAUGUGUGUU